rnacentral:rRNA from 1 species
UACGGAGGGUGCAAGCGUUGUUCGGAAUUACUGGGCGUAAAGCGCGCGCAGGCGGUUUGCUAAGUCAGAUGUGAAAGCCCAUGGCUUAACCAUGGACGUGCAUUUGAAACUGGCAGACUUGAGUAUUGGAGGGGGUGGUGGAAUUCCCGGUGUAGAGGUGAAAUUCGUAGAUAUCGGGAGGAAUACCGGUGGCGAAGGCGACCACCUGGCCAAAUACUGACGCUCAUGUGCGAAAGCGUGGGGAGCAAACAGG